rnacentral:rRNA from 1 species
CGGGGUGAGUAAUGUAUGGGGAUCUGCCUGAUGGCGGGGGGUAACUACUGGAAACGGUAGCUAAUACCGCAUAACGUCGCAAGACCAAGAGGGGGACCUUCGGGCCUCUUGCCAUCGGAUGUGCCCAGAUGGGAUUAGCUAGUAGGUGGGGUAACGGCUCACCUAGGCGACGAUCCCUAGCUGGUCUGAGAGGAUGACCAGCCACACUGGAACUGAGACACGGUCCAG